rnacentral:misc_RNA from 1 species
GUAGGUGAACCUGCGGAAGGAUCAUUAAAAUGAGAGCCGGUCCCGGCGGGGGUAACAGCCCACCGGGAUCGACACCCUCCACCCUUGCUUAUUAUACCAUUGUUGCUUUGGCGGGCCGCGCGCCGCAAGGUGCGCACCGGCUCCGGCUGGGGAGUGCCCGCCAGAGACCCAAACUCUGAAAUUUAGUGAUGUCUGAGUACUAUAUAAUAGUUAAAACUUUCAACAACGGAUCUCUUGGUUCUGGCAUCGA